CAACGACAGAGAAAAUUUCGCGUGGGAUACUUGUAGAAUUGCGAUCUGCAGUUUCCUAAUCUGACUUAUGCGCACCCUAGGCUUCCGUUUACCCUAAUUUUCAACUAUAAAAGAAGCACACAUCAUAAGGAAUGGAAGAGCCGUCACCCAAGGAGAAAAACACAAAGAAAUAAAAGAAAAACAAGAUUCAAGAGAGAGAUUAAGGGCUGCACAAGAGGAGAAUUUGCAUAAAUCAAUUGGGAGCUCAAUCCUUCUUAUUCUUCUCU
rnacentral:lncRNA from 1 species